rnacentral:ncRNA from 2 species
AUGGGACACGCCGUCCAAGGCAACCGCCGCGGACGGCCAGAGGGAAUCCGGUGCGAAUCCGGAGCUGCCCCGCAGCGGUAUGGGAAACGAACGGGUCUUGGCACUGGGCGAUGAGCCUGGGAAGCGGCCUUAGUAGGAAAGGGCGAGGGUAGAGUUCAGAACAGUGAGAAACGAGUAAGCGCCGCGGCCUCUACUCGUUUCUCACCUUUCUGCACUCUACUUCUCGCCCCAAGUCCCGAGCCCGAAGACCUGCCGCGACCGGAAGGUUCGC